GACGUAGGGUGCGAGCGUUGUCCGGAUUUAUUGGGCGUAAAGAGCUCGUAGGCGGCUCGUCGCGUCGACCGUGAAAACCCGCGGCUUAACCGCGGGCUUGCGGUUGAUACGGGCGGGCUAGAGUUCGGUAGGGGAGACUGGAAUUCCUGGUGUAGCGGUGAAAUGCGCAGAUAUCAGGAGGAACACCGGUGGCGAAGGCGGGCCUCUGGGCCGUAACUGACGCUGAGGAGCGAAAGCAUGGGGAGCGAACAGG
rnacentral:rRNA from 1 species